AUACGUAGGGGGCGAGCGUUGUCCGGAAUGAUUGGGCGUAAAGGACGCGUAGGCGGCUUUGCAAGUCAGUAGUGGAAGUCCAUUUUUCAAGGAUGGAAGUGCUACAGAAACUGCGGAGCUUGAGUGCAGGAGAGGUUAUCGGAAUUCCCGGUGUAGCGGUGAAAUGCGUAGAGAUCGGGAGGAACACCAGUGGCGAAGGCGGGUAACUGGACUGCAACUGACGCUGAGGCGCGAAAGUGUGGGGAGCAAACAGGAUUAGAUACCCUGGUAGUCCACACUGUAAACGAUGAAUGCUAGGUGUAGGAGGUAUCGACCCCUUCUGUGCCGCAGUAAACACAGUAAGCAUUCCGCCUGGGGAGUACGGUCGCAAGAUUAAAACUCAAAUGAAUUGACGGGG
rnacentral:rRNA from 1 species